rfam:Candidatus Taylorbacteria bacterium RIFCSPLOWO2_01_FTLL_48_100 rifcsplowo2_01_scaffold_16309, whole genome shotgun sequence.
GCCCGGGUGGCGUAAUUGGCAGCCGCGCCUGACUUAAGAUCAGGUUCCGUAAGGAGUGUGGGUUCGACUCCCACCCCGGGCA